CUAAAACUCAUGCUUAGACAUUUCUGUACAUAAUGAGCGCAACAAAACCAUUUCAAUUGGGGAAACUAAUUUCUCAGAACCACCAUACUACACACAAAUAACAACCAAAAUAUAAACUAUAGAGAUUAGAGUAGCAAGAAAACUACUUUUCAUAAACUGUAAGGAUUUACAGCAAUCUAAAGUGGACCACGGGAUCGCCUUAACCGCUGCCAAUUUUAGGUUAUAAAGUAAACAAACGAUUUACUUUUUGUGCUCUCAACUGUGAUUUUAAAAAAUCAAUCUCUGAUUUUUUCUGUUAAUGGUGAUCCAAUAAGCUGAUUCAAUCUCUGCACUUUAAUCGGUAAUUUGAUGAUUCAAUCUCAAACAUGACUGUUGAUUUUUACAAAAAUGGAGUUUUUGAUGAGAGAUUGACGACGAUCGGUUUUUGUUGUUUGUUUGGAAAACACGACUUUUUCAUUUGUCAGACACGUUAUUUUAGCAUUAAAGGGGUGAAAUUGUCCUAAUUCAUUAUAAAUUAUGUUAAUUUUGGCAUAUGGUGAUUAUGAAAACUUUUCUAUUAAAUGGGAGAUUUUUGCAAAUAAAAAAAAUUUAAGGUAAAAACAUAAAAGGAGAGCAUUUUUGGAGGAUUUGUGUUGAUUACCCUUAAUUCAAUCAAAUUAAUCCCACUUUCACCUUCACCCAUCCCACCACUCACUCACCUGCCGCCAACCGCCGCCACGCCAUACCCGUCCACUCCUCUGCAUCCGAAAGAUGGAAGUUUGAGCGAAUGGAAUGCCUUCACUAUCUUUUCCACUUUCAACUGUCAUCAUCUUCAUCAGUCUUUGAAGUUCGAUAACCAUCUUUACAUGGAUCUUAUUGAAGAUGAAGAUCGUAAAAUAUUAUGCUUCAAGGGAUCGAGCAGAUCAUUUGUCAAAUCGGAAAAAAAUAUAUCGAACUUCUCUGUUAACAUUUAUCGUUGUGUUAAAAUUAUAAGAUUUAUGACUUGAUUGUUCUUAUUUUCGAUUAA